rnacentral:rRNA from 1 species
UACGUAGGGGGCAAGCGUUGUCCGGAUUUAUUGGGCGUAAAGAGCGUGUAGGCGGCCAGGUAGGUCUGCUGUGAAAGCUCGCGGCUCAACUGCGAGAGGUCGGUGGAAACUGUCUGACUAGAGGACGGUAGAGGGGGGUGGAAUUCCCGGUGUAGUGGUGAAAUGCGUAGAGAUCGGGAGGAACACCAGCGGCGAAGGCGGCCCCCUGGGCCGCUCCUGACGCUGAGACGCGAAGGCCAGGGUAGCGAACGGG